rnacentral:lncRNA from 1 species
GGAAAAGUAACUAAAGAAAGCAGGUGAAUGAGUGGAAUAUGCUAGAGGUAUUCUUCUAUUGUUAAUGAUCCGGUGAAGGGAGCGAUGGGAGGUAAGUGCUUGAAGACCACAUGACUUCAGAGGGGCUUCACACCAUUUCACUGUGGCUCUAUUGAAGAAUGAGAGUCAAACAAAACUAACCAACCAACUAACUUUAGGUGCAGAGAAAUAGGAGAAAUUUGAAGAUCUUUUUUUGAACAACAACAACAACAACAACAACAACAAAUUGAAAAAAGUUCUACUUUGGGAGUUUGUUUUCCAUUUUUCCCAGGAAGCUUCCUAUCUUAUGGUGUGAGAGACUUGUGCUGUACUUUCUUGUAGGAGCCAGUUCCACCUUGAUACAGCCUGGUCCCUCUAUGGACAGGAGAUUGAAGGACUGCAUGGACAGAAGCUGAGCUGGUGCACAUGAGAAGCAGGAAGAGCAAACUGUAGCAUCUCAAAUACUGGGCAGAGGACCUAUGAUGGAACUGAAGCUGUGGAACAACUAGGACAGCCUCUACAGGAUUCUGAAGCACAUGGCAAUAGUUCAGGCACAAAGUGCAGGUAGAGCCUGGGCAUUCCUGGUGAUGGCUUCUCAACUGUUUCCCAAAUGUACAUCAAUUUCAACCUUGAAAGGUGAGAGUUUUUUGUUGGUGUUUGUUUGUUUGUUUUUGAAGUGAGACAAAUGUGCUUGAGUGUGAAGAAGAGCCUUCACUGCUGGGGAGGCAUUUCAGAGUUAUUGAUGCCAAAGGACUUCUCUAUGAGGUUUAGGUAUAGAUAAGACACUUUCUUCUGGAUUCUAAUGAACCUCUCCUAUCAAACUGAGCAACUUGAACCCACAGUGUGAAUGGAAGAAGCUGAGUCCUGAGUGAGCUGCUGAUGAACCUGGGAACAAGCACUACCCUCCCUCUGAGACUGGGAAGGAAAUCACAACUAGCAAUCCAGAAAGCGCUUUCAAAUCCGUGUCCCCUCCUGACCCCAUCUACUCACGGUCUCUGGCAGCAGCCUGUAAUGCCCUGUGCUUCAGAGAAAAGUGAGUUUGUCCUCUGCUCCUGCCCCUGCACAUCAGAGAUUCUCAUGUUCUGCACAGGGCUCAACCCAUGGCUGAAACCAGAGGUGCACAGGCCAUGGGAGUGCAGCUCCACUUUCUCCAAGAAUAGCAACGUAGGUCGUGGGAAGCAGUGUGCUGGCAUGAGCUGUAUGCCAUGGAGGGCUGAGGCACAGGGAGGAGAAGAUGUGAACCACAAGGCUCUGCCCUGAAUAAAGUCAGAGAGUGUAUAAAAAUGCAUGAGGCUAAAAGUCAGCUGAGCUGAAAGGAGCCGAUUUGUGAAAUAACUUUGCUGAGAAAAUGGCAGUUGUUGUUCUUGGAGGGCAGAAGGAGGACAACGUACACCUGCUUGAGCCACCGAUUCCACCCAACUCUUGGCACACUACUGGUGCUACCCUGCUCUACUGGCUUAAUAUAUCUUUUUAGAUAGUUUAAUACAUCUUUUUAGGUGAUGCUCACCUCUUUG